rnacentral:rRNA from 1 species
UACGUAGGGUGCAAGCGUUGUCCGGAAUUAUUGGGCGUAAAGAGCUCGUAGGCGGUCCGUCGCGUCGGAUGUGAAAAUCCAGGGCUCAACCCUGGACCUGCAUUCGAUACGGGCAGACUAGAGUUCGGUAGGGGAGACUGGAAUUCCUGGUGUAGCGGUGGAAUGCGCAGAUAUCAGGAGGAACACCGAUGGCGAAGGCAGGUCUCUGGGCCACUACUGACGCUGAGAAGCGAAAGCAUGGGGAGCGAACAGG